rnacentral:tRNA from 1 species
GGGCACGUGGUGUAGAGGCCUAACAUGACUCCCUGUCACGGAGUAGAUCGCCGGUUCGAAUCCGGUCGUGCCCGCCA